GAGAGGGAGAGAGAGAGAGAAAUGGCACAAGAAAGCAAAGAAAUGAAACGAGCAGUGAGAGAAAUAGAAGAAAAUGAGGAGGCGGCGGUGGCAGCGACCGGGACCGAAGCAAUUGAGUCGAGUGGAGGUGGUGGUGGUGGUGGUGGGCUCAUCAAUCAGAUAAUGUCUCACUUGCCCGUCUCUCUUUCCACGAUUAUGCAAAUCUAAGGUGUCGUGCUCUCGAUGGAUUUCCAGUGGAUAACCAUUCAUAUAUAUCAGCUCUCGCAUUUACCAGACAUUUAUAGGUACUAAUAUUAAGCAAUAAGAAGAUUGAGGGUUUGUAUUUAUUUAUUUAUUUUGUUUGUUUGGGGUAAAUCAGAGGGGGGAGUAGCCCCCCCUACCCGUUUUUCACGAUCUAUAUAUUUGGAAGUGAGUUCAUGUCGGUUUGUUUGUGCCUGAGAUAUCGUAAAAAAUGAUACCUUCCAAUAACGAAUUCACACCGUGUUUGGUGAAAUUUGAUAUGUAAACAUUUAUAAACUCAUAAUCAACUUUUUUUAGGUA